rnacentral:snoRNA from 1 species
AUCCCAUGAUUUGGACACUUCCUCAUCAAUUCCUUAAAUCUGUUCCAGGCCUCGUGAUAGCUUUCCCCAUCUUUCGGUUGAAAGAUUUUAAUUUUCAAUCUGAUUUU